AUAAGGGAGAUUAACUUGAUCCUACGAUGGAAAUUGCUCCUCUAGAAAUCUCUCUCGCUCACCUUUGCACGCACACAAUCCAUUCGUAGUCAUGCUAAGUAUAAAGUGCAAGGAAGUGCAGGCAAUAUUUGCACCUCUGGAAUUGGCCCAUCGGCCCACAAUUCGUGACAGUUGCCUAGGGUUUUUAGAGACUCUAAAACAAAGGUCUUUUAAACUUUCACUUGGUGAAAGGUCCCUCUUUUUCUUGCAUCUUCUUCCUUCUCCUUCUGAUGGGCCGGGAGCAGUGGAUUGUGGCUUGAAAGCUCAAAAAAGGUGCCAGCUAACUGGAUUGCACAUCUGGAGGGUUUCACUGAACCCUGCGUUGUAAUUUUUCUGGCCAAGAGCAAUUAUAGGAACGGAUUUGACAAGACACCUACUCUUGCAAUAAUUGAUGGGUUUGGAUAUUGAACAUUGGAUUCGCAUGGCAUUGGCAGAGUCUCAAGUCUCAGACAGCAGUACUUCAAAGAGUAUACAAAAGCAAGACCAUUAAAUCAACAUCUUUUCUAUUUACCAUAACUACCUACUUUUCACAUGCAUUUCAUGUAAUUUUUUUUUUUAAAAAUAACAUAAAAUUUGACAUGUUAAGUAUUUAAUAAAAUGUUUUUAGAUGGAAA